GACGAACGCUGGCGGCGUGCUUAACACAUGCAAGUCGAACGGAAAGGCCCUGCUUUUGUGGGGUGCUCGAGUGGCGAACGGGUGAGUAACACGUGAGUAACCUGCCCUUGACUUUGGGAUAACUUCAGGAAACUGGGGCUAAUACCGGAUAGGAGCUCCUGCUGCAUGGUGGGGGUUGGAAAGUUUCGGCGGUUGGGGAUGGACUCGCGGCUUAUCAGCUUGUUGGUGGGGUAGUGGCUUACCAAGGCUUUGACGGGUAGCCGGCCUGAGAGGGUGACCGGCCACAUUGGGACUGAGAUACGGCCCAGACUCCUACGGGAGGCAGCAGUGGGGAAUAUUGCACAAUGGGCGGAAGCCUGAUGCAGCAACGCCGCGUGCGGGAUGACGGGCUUCGGGUUAUAAACCGCUUUCGCCGGUGACGAAGCGUGAGUGACGGUAAUGGGUAAAGAAGCACCGGCUAACUACGUG
rnacentral:rRNA from 1 species